GUCCCGUUCCUGGGGGCCAGGACUGGGCUCAGCACAUCUACGCCAUGCGCCCACAUCCAGCACCCCAGCCCCAGGCCGUCCCAGCAGGCGAGGGUAGCGGGAGAGCGUCAUGCACCUGUGUCCGGCACCCCAGCCCCAGACCGCCCCGGCAGGCGAAGGCAGUGGGACAGCGCACCUUCUCCGUGUCCUCCUUCUUGACCUGCUUCAGGUUGGCACGCAGGUCCAUGCACACCUUGUGCUUGGAACCCAGCAGUGCCUUAAGCAUGGCGUCGGCCGACAUGCGCACGCGGCGCAGCGGGGGCCUCUUGAACUUGCCCCGCAGGUCGAACAGCU